AACCUCCAACCUCGGAAAAAUCAUCAACAGUGCACUAUUUCAAAUAUACCAAGAUCCAAGCUACCACAGUAUGAAACCGAAAUAAAGAAUAUUGAUUGGAGCAAUCAACUAGCACUCACCGACCCAGAACAAAUCUUAGCAGAUUUCCAGAAUCGUAUAGAAGCCAUACGGAAAAAAUACACUACUACCAGAAAACUCGACAGAAUAAAUUACCAUGGAUAAACUCAGAUAUUCUCAAU